rnacentral:rRNA from 1 species
UACGUAGGGGGCAAGCGUUGUCCGGAUUUAUUGGGCGUAAAGAGCGUGUAGGCGGCCUGACAGGUCUGCUGUGAAAACUCGAGGCUCAACCUCGAGAUGUCGGCGGAAACCGUCUGGCUAGAGUCCGGAAGAGGAGAGUGGAAUUCCUGGUGUAGCGGUGAAAUGCGCAGAUAUCAGGAGGAACACCAGUGGCGAAGGCGGUGCUCUGGCCGGAACUGACGCUGAGGAGCGAAGCGUGGGGAGCAAACAGGA